CGCGUGGUUCUAUUUUGUUGGUUUCUAGGACCGCCGUAAUGAUUAAUAGGGACAGUCGGGGGCAUCAGUAUUCAAUUGUCAGAGGUGAAAUUCUUGGAUCUAUUGAAGACUAACUACUGCGAAAGCAUUUGCCAAGGAUGUUUUCAUUGAUAAGGAACGAAAGUUAGGGGAUCGAAGACGAUCAGAUACCGUCGUAGUCUUAACUAUAAACUAUGCCGACUAGGGAUCGGACGAUGUUAUUUUUUGACUCGUUCGGCACCUUUCGAGAAAUCAAAGUGCUUGGGCUCCAGGGGGAGUAUGGUCGCAAGGCUGAAACUUAAAGAAAUUGACGGAAGGGCACCACCAGGGGUGGAACCUGCGGCUUAAUUUGACUCAACACGGGGAAACUCACCAGGUCCAGACACAGUGAGGAUUGACAGAUUGAUAGCUCUUUCUUGAUUCUGUGGGUGGUGGUGCAUGGCCGUUCUUAGUUGGUGGAGUGAUUUGUCUGCUUAAUUGCGAUAACGAACGAGACCUUAACCUGCUAAAUAGCCCGUAUUGCUCCGGCAGUACGCUGGCUUCUUAGAGGGACUAUCGGCUCAAGCCGAUUGAAGUUUGAGGCAAUAACAGGUCUGUGAUGCCCUUAGAUGUCCUGGGCCGCACGCGCGUUACACUGACAAAGCCAGCGAGUAUUUCCUUGGCCGGAAGGCCCGGGUAAUCUUGUUAAACUUUGUCGUGC
rnacentral:rRNA from 1 species